UGUCCCCGUCCCGUUUUGGUCCAUCCCAGCUACAAACGACUUUACCUUUGGUGGAACCUUUAGCUUCCACACACUGUUCAUUCCACUCUCGUUGAACAGCAAGUCUGUCAUGAUCCUUCACCAUAUUUAUAUAUUGUUGAUAUGCCGAACGCAGAAAGUAAAACCCAUCUUUAUUGGGGUUCCAUAUUAACUUAUAUCAUUCUGCUCAACAUCAACAAUAGGGCUCUCCGCCAACGCAAGAGCUGCAAGCUCCUCAUUAAAGAUAGCAUCAACAAUAGACUUCUCCAAGGAUAACUGGGAUUAUGGCCCAGACUGCUAUUUCACAUACCAUUGAUUCUGACAAGGGCCGGAGCCAUCCUGAUCCUCCCAGUGAUGAUGACUUGGUUGCAGAAGGUUGUGUGAAGUCAUGUGCAGAUCAUCAUAAACAGUUAAACAUUAAAAGAUUGUGAUUCUAAUUUUAAGAGUUGUUGUUGUCUUUAUGGUGUUUUAUUGUUAAUUAAAUUAUGACAAAGUAGUAUUUUGUCAGUCUUUAUGGUGUUGCUGAAAGGAGUUCAAGUAUCUGGAAAUGAAUUAUUGAAGAUUCAUUAUUCAUUUUUCAAUUCCAUUGUAAUAUCAUUCCCCUGUUAAUGAAUUGCUUAUUGCUACUGGCAGAUGACCUUGAUGUCCUAAAUAAAACCAAGUUCAUUUUGUUUUGAAAAGAACUGGAUGAGUGCAUAGGAAUGUAAUGUUGAUAUUCCCUCAAA